AAAAGCAGAGAGGAAAGGACGUGCGGCAGAGAAGAGAGAGAGAAGGAAAAAAAAAAAGAAAAAAAGAAAAAAGGCUCUUGUUCAUCAUCUUCUCCGAGUCUCCCCUCGCCGUUCCACCUGCCGGCCUUCGCUACGCCGGUUGCUGACGCUGCUGCCUUGACGCCGAGACGCUGCUGCUGCUCUCGCUCCACGCGACCCGACGCCAGCGACCCGCGACGCCCUGCCACCGUCUCCAGACGCGGCUGCUGAAGCCGCGACAAUCCCGACGCCGGAGCCACUCCUGCCCUGCUCUGCCACCCGAUCGUGACUGCUCAGCGCAGAUCUCGCCUUUGUCGAACCCGUUCGCCGGUCUCCACCGCUCGAGAUCCGCC
rnacentral:lncRNA from 1 species